GUCCAUAGGCCUCAGUCCCAGCUGAGGAACUCACAGUUGAUGGCUGUUAGGGGAAGACAAUCCAGCUUUCUUCAGGGGGUGGUGCCUGGUUUCAUGCUACCUGGAGGAACUCUGCAAGCAUCCAAAGGAAGGAGGGAUCAACAGUCCUAUGCAGCUAUGAUGCCUAUGAAUCAUAUCAAUGACCAGCACACCACAAUAACCUUACAGAUGCAGUCAUAGAACCUGUUCCUUGUUGGUACCUUGUUGCUCAAUAAUUGGACUUGAGACCCACUCAACAAGAGGAAAACCACUCAGUGCAAGUAAGUGUCAUCUUCACCUCUCAUCAGGGAAACUUCUCCUUGUAACAGAUGGAGACUCCUACAGAACACCACAACCAACCAAAAUGCAGAGUUGUGGGGCCGAGUCCCAAUUGACACAUCUACAAUAAAACUUCCACCCUAAGGCUCAGGGAACAUUAUGGAAAAGGGGAUGGAAAGACUGUACGAGCCAGAGGAUCAGGGAGUUGGCUGCAAGAUUGUGCUUCCUGGAAUAUCAGAAGCUACAGCCAUAAACUAUCGCCCACAUGACUGCCUAACCAGGAGCUGAACAAGGAUGAAGCCAAAUUAAAAUGCCAAACCGGAUGGAGAAAAGACCACAAGGCCUCAAGCCUACACAAAGAAGGCAACUGAGAAAAUCUGAGAAGGGAGAGGUGGCCGUCCCCAGGGAAGAACACACAAAUUGGUUGUCUAGUGCCAAAUGGUCAGCCAUAAAAACAUUUACAGGUAUCAUUAAAUAGACUGAAGAGAUUAUUUUUGGGAAUAGAUGUG